rnacentral:rRNA from 1 species
UAAUACAUGCAAGUCGAGCGGACGGAAGGGAGCUUGCUCCCGGAAGUCAGCGGCGGACGGGUGAGUAACACGUGGGUAACCUGCCUGUAAGACUGGGAUAACUCCGGGAAACCGGGGCUAAUACCGGAUAGCUUCUUCCUCCGCAUGGAGGAAGAAUGAAAGGCGGCCUUUGGCUGUCACUUACAGAUGGACCCGCGGCGCAUUAGCUAGUUGGUGGGGUAACGGCUCACCAAGGCGACGAUGCGUAGCCGACCUGAGAGGGUGAUCGGCCACACUGGGACUGAGACACGGCCCAGACUCCUACGGGAGGCAGCAGUAGGGAAUCUUCCGCAAUGGACGUAAGUCUGACGGAGCAACGCCGCGUGAGUGAAGAAGGUUUUCGGAUCGUAAAGCUCUGUUGUCAGGGAAGAACAAGUACCGGAGUCACUGCCGGUACCUUGACGGUACCUGACCAGAAAGCCACGGCUAACUACGUGCCAGCAGCCGCGGUAAUACGUAGGUGGCAAGCGUUGUCCGGAAUUAUUGGGCGUAAAGCGCGCGCAGGCGGCCUUUUAAGUCUGAUGUGAAAGCCCACGGCUCAACCGUGGAGGGUCAUUGGAAACUGGAAGGCUUGAGUGCAGAAGAGGAGAGCGGAAUUCCACGUGUAGCGGUGAAAUGCGUAGAGAUGUGGAGGAACACCAGUGGCGAAGGGGGCUUUCUUUUGUUUUUGUAACUGACGUUGAGGCGCGAAAAGCGUGGGGAACCAACCCAGGAUUAGAUCCCUUGUUAUUCCCCCCCCGGUAAAACGAUGAGUGUUAAGUGUUGGGGGUUUUCCCCCCCUUUAGUGCUGCAGCAAACGCAUUAACCACUCCGCCUGGGGAGUACGCCCCCAAGGUUGAAACUCAAAGGAAUUGACGGGGGCCCCCCCCAAGCGGUGGAGCAUGUGGUUUAUUUGGAAGCAACGGGAAGACCCUUACCAGGUCUUGACAUCUUCUGACACUUUUGGAGACAGAGCUUUCCCCUUCGGGGGACAGAGUGACAGGUGGUGCAUGGUUGUCGUCAGCUCGUGUCGUGAGAUGUUGGGUUAAGUCCCGCAACGAGCGCAACCCUUGUCCUUAGUUGCCAGCAUUCAGUUGGGCACUCUAGGGAGACUGCCGGUGACAAACCGGAGGAAGGUGGGGAUGACGUCAAAUCAUCAUGCCCCUUAUGACCUGGGCUACACACGUGCUACAAUGGAUGGUACAAAGGGCAGCGAAGCCGCGAGGUGAAGCCAAUCCCAUAAAACCAUUCUCAGUUCGGAUUGCAGGCUGCAACUCGCCUGCAUGAAGCCGGAAUCGCUAGUAAUCGCGGAUCAGCAUGCCGCGGUGAAUACGUUCCCGGGCCUUGUACACACCGCCCGUCACACCACGAGAGUUUGUAACACCCGAAGUCGGUGGGGUAACCUUUUGGAGCCAGCCGCCUAAGGUGGGACAGAUGAUUGGGGGAAGUCGUAUCAAG